rnacentral:rRNA from 1 species
AACGAACGCUGGCGGCAUGCCUAACACAUGCAAGUCGAACGAGACCUUCGGGUCUAGUGGCGCACGGGUGCGUAACGCGUGGGAACCUGCCCUUAGGUUCGGAAUAACUCCCCGAAAGGGGUGCUAAUACCGGAGAAUGUCUUCGGACCAAAGAUUUAUCGCCUUUGGAUGGGCCCGCGUUGGAUUAGCUAGUUGGUAGGGUAAAAGCCUACCACGGCGACGAUCCAUAGCUGGUCUGAGAGGAUGAUCAGCCACACUGGGACUGAGACACGGCCCAGACUCCUACGGGAGGCAGCAGUGGGGAAUAUUGGACAACGGGCGAAAGCAUGAUCCAGCAAUGCCGCGUGAGUGAUGAAGGCCUUAGGGUUGUAAAGCUCUUUUACCCGGGAUGAUAAUGACAGUACCGGGAGAAUAAGCUCCGGCUAACUCCGUG